rnacentral:rRNA from 1 species
UACAGAGGUGGCAAGCGUUGUUCGGAAUUACUGGGCGUAAAGGGCGCGUAGGCGGUUCGGUAAGUCCUGUGUGAAAUCCCUCGGCUCAACUGAGGAACUGCACGGGAGACUGCCGGGCUUGAGUUCGGGAGAGGGAUGUGGAAUUCCAGGUGUAGCGGUGAAAUGCGUAGAUAUCUGGAGGAACACCGGUGGCGAAGGCGGCAUCCUGGACCGGUAUUGACGCUGAGGCGCGAAAGCUAGGGUAGCAAACGGG